rnacentral:rRNA from 1 species
CCUACGGGAGGCAGCAGUGGGGAAUAUUGGGCAAUGGAGGAAACUCUGACCCAGCGACGCCGCGUGAGGGAUGAAGGCCUUCGGGUUGUAAACCUCUUUCAGUAGGGAAGAAGCGAAAGUGACGGUACCUACAGAAGAAGCACCGGCUAACUAUGUGCCAGCAGCCGCGGUGAUACAUAGGGUGCAAGCGUUGUCCGGAAUUAUUGGGCGUAAAGAGCUCGUAGGUGGUUCGAUACGUCGGAUGUGAAAAUCAGGGGCUCAACCCCUGACCUGCAUCCGAUACGGUCGAGCUAGAGUUUGGUAGGGGAGACUGGAAUUCCUGGUGUAGCGGUGGAAUGCGCAGAUAUCAGGAGGAACACCGAUGGCGAAGGCAGGUCUCUGGGGCCAAUACUGACACUGAGGAGCGAAAGCGUGGGGAGCGAACAGGAUUAGAUACCCUGGUAGUCCACGCCGUAAACGGUGGGCGCUAGUUGUGCGAACCUUCCACGGUUUGUGCGACGCAGCUAACGCAUUAAGCGCCCCGCCCUCGGGGAGUACGAUCGCAAGAUUAAAACUCAAAUGAAUUGACGG